CAUCUGUAAGUGGAGAGUUGUUCUUUUUCCUUUCUCUUUUGGAUACUUUCCAUUACUGUGUUGAAUAGAAGUAGUAAGAGUUGGCCCCCUUGUCUGUGCCUGAUCUUAGAGGAGACACUUUUAGUCUUUCACUGUGGAAAAUGAUGUUCACUGUGGGUUUAGUGUUUUGGUGAUAAAAUUUUAAAGGUCAGAGGACAAUUGUCAUUUUCCUGUUUAUUAAGAUUAUUUUGCAUGUGUCAGCAUGCAUGGUCCUUGUUGGGAUCCUGCACCACUGUGUAAAGCAAGCACUACCUGCAUUUCCUAACAUAAUACUUCCCUCCACGAGACUAUACUCCUUGAGAUUAAGAACAUUGUCUGCCUUGUUCACAGUUAUAUUCCCAGCACCUAGCCAAUGUCUGGCAUGUAGUAGGUGCUCAGUCAGGAAAUGAUAGAUGAAUAGGCUUUGCUUUCAAGCAUGAGUUUUACUGGGGGUCCUACAGGACAUGCCGUGCAUUCCCCCUUCUCAUUGAGUGUGCCGCAUCCCUUGUGCUCUGAGCCUUGUCUGGGGUAUGGCAGAGUGGAGGGGUGUGGUCUCGGAUAAGUGGUCUCACUGGGGAGAUCAGGUAAGACUGCGAGUGGGUAUUGCUCCCUUGUAUUAGGACCUGUAUGUACUGGACGUUGUGUACAGUGUUCAUUCAUUACUGUUAGCACUUGGUGUUAGCCCUUUGGCACUUAGACACUGGAUCCAGUCCCUUUCAAAAAUACAAAAUCAAGUGCAAGUGCUACAUAUUGAGAUUUCCCUGCAAGUGGGGGACCUCAGCUUGGGGUCAGUAAAGGUAGAACAAAAAAUCGACACUUGCUAUAUAUACUACAUGUUCGUGUUCUCUGAAGAGUCGAAUGCAGGUCUAGCGAUGACAUUUAGCUCUUACAAUUCAACAUUAGGUUCUAUAAGAGGAGUAUUUGCUUAAAAUUGAACUCUCAUUAUUUUCAUAUAAGUAAACAUGUAUUGACUAUCUAAUGUGUUCACAUCAUCAUGGUAGGUCCUAAGAGGAUAAGACCCUCUCCCUGCCCUCAAAGAAGUACCCAGUGUGGCAAGGAAGAUCCCACAGCAUCUAAUCUAAAUAGAGUCCCAUCUGAGACUGGAAAUAAGAGCAGGUGUUAUGCAGGGAUGCAUAACAAAAUGCAACAGAAAUGUACUGUCUCACAGUUCUGGAGAGCGUUAAGUUUAAUAAGAUCAGGGUGCCAGCAUGGUUAGGUUCUAGUGAGUCCUCUCUCCCUGGCUUGCAAAUGCCCCCUUCUCACCGUGUCUGUAUGUGGCCUUUUUUCUAAGUUCAAGUCGGGGUGGGAGAAGGAAAGGGGAAGAGAGAGAGAGGGAGAGAAGUAUCUCUUCCUCUUAUAAGGUCAUCAGUCCUUUCCACACCAUCGUCAUGACCACAUUUAACCUGAGUUACUUCCUAAAAGCCCCGUCUCCAGAUCCAGUCACACUGGGUGUUAGGAUGUGAAUUGGGGGACCAGGGGAGGAAUGACAUGAUUCAGUCCAUAGCGACAAGGUUGCCAAAUCUUGAUGUAGACUGAGUGUACCAGGCACUGUGCCUCAUGUUCUCGUUCAGUCUUCCCUCUGAUCCCAUCAGGUGGGAACCAUCAUUUCCCCCUGUUUCCCAGAUGAAGAAACUGAGGCUUGGAAGAAUUAAACUGUUUUCCAAGCUUUACAGAGCCAGGGCUUGAACCCAAGGCUUUGGGAGCUGGGGGAGUGUCAGAGGAGGUGCCUCGAGGAUGAGUAGGGAGGUGGCUUAGGGGCACUCAGACAGGUGGGAAGCAGCCUCUGACUCUACAUAUGUUGUAUUCAGGGGCAAGCUUCUUCCUGGCUGCACAUGGAGGGUGUAUUAAAAGCGGUGAUGGAGGCUGAUGCUGGAAAAGUAGCUGGGUCCAUGUUCCUCUACAGGGCCAUGGACUUUGGGCAGUAGGGAGCCAUUGGUGGCUUUUGAGCAGAGGAAUGACCUAAGAGUUUGGCUUCAGAAAACGAAUGCUCACAGCCAGUAUACACAGCGAACCUGGAGGUAAGAGACGUUCCACAGCAGUUUUGAUAACCCACAUGGGGGCUCUGAGGACAUAGGUGAAAGGUUUCAGGAGGUAGAGUCAACAGGACUUUGGUUUUCAUUUGGCUUGUGGUUGUAGGGGGAGGAAUUGGAAAUAUUCUGGGUCACCAGAUGGUGCUGCCAUUUAGAGAGACACAAGGAACACCAGAAGUCUACUCUCCAUGUCUGUGACUCUGUUUCUGUGCUGUAGGUAGGUUCAUGUGGGCCACAUUUUAGAUUCCACAUGUAAGUGGUAUCAUAUGGUAUUUAUCUUUCCCUUUCUGACGUCACUUAGUAGGAGAACCUCUAGUUGCAUCCAUGCUGCUGCAAAUGGCAUUAUUUUGUUCGUUUUUAUGGCUGAGUAGUAGCAUGUAUAUGUAGUAGUAGUAUGUAUAUGUGGUUCUUAAUCCAUUCAUCUAUAUAUACCAAGCAUUUUAAAUCUCUUGGGAAAGAAAUCUGUAGCCCUAAAUCUGAGAAAAGGACUUGACAUAGUUAAAUGAGGAUAUUGGAGAGGCCUCUUAGGGACAUUGAUGGACCCUUAGGGAUUAUUUAAUUUAAGAAGUCAGUUAAAGCAAGGGAUUAUAAACUGAAAGAACAUCUAGUUAACACUGAGUUCUGACUUUUGAUGUACAGUCAAGGCUUUGCCUUUGGUAAGUUUGCUGAUGGGUUCUCAGUAGGCUCUCUUGUGUAAGCCUCACCUAGAAAGCAUCCAGGUGAUUUUCAGCAACAGGGUCUCUAAAGAGGCUCCAGAGAGUAAAGUCACUGUCAGAGCCACCUGACCAGAAGGUCUUGGUCUUAGGUAUCUCAUGCUCAUUAAUCCUAAAGGAGAUUUUAAAGUCAGAUGCCUUUAGCAAUCUAUCCCAAGUAUUUGUUUUUCAUACACAUAAAAUAUUUGGUGUAUUCAUCUAUCUUCACAGUAAACAAUGAAAUUGAUAAUUGCAGUAAUAAGAGGCACAAACAUAUAUGAGUACAGUUACUGCCCUUCUCUCAGAAAACAGGAAAGGAGCCACUAGCUGGAGUGUUUAGCAGGUCAAGGGUAUCUGCUUCUCUCCCUCUGAUACCGGUUAAUCUGAGAUUUAGGUGAUUUAAUAUUGGUUGAGUUUCUACUGUGGGUGUAUAUGUAUAUUAAACAAGGCAGUUGUAGGCACCAGUUUGAAAGGCUAGUAUCAUAUUUUUCUGAGCUACAUUCUAAAUUUCUGAUGAUGUUGAUAGCAGUUACAAAAAGGAAAUACAGCUGUAGGACACAUCCUACAAUGAAAGUUUACAAUGAAACUGUUGUUAAUGGAAGUACUCAUUAGCUAUAGUAGUGAAAUCAAAUGGAUUGAAUUCAGGAAAAGAAGGUAGGGUAUCCGAGGGAUUGGAUUCUUAGAGAUGAGUAGAAGGAUUUCCUUUUGAAACUCAGAUUUACAUAUGUCAUUUUGUCACUUACGACUUCUUAGAUUAAUUCCAUCAGGGAGAGUGAUCAGUGCUUCAAAAUGAGCCCACCUUUCUAGCAGUGCCAAAAGCAUGGCUAAUUGUAGCUUCUUACACAACCUGCACAUAGAGUCCAUUAUAGCAGAAACUCAGUUAUUUUCCCUUGAUGACAAGAUCAGCAUCGAUUAGCUGACACAGGAAGAGGACGCACUCAGCUUUGGAGAGCCCUCGGCUGUCCUUGUAGAGAGCCUGUAUUGGAUGGAGCCCUGGGGGAAGCAUAUAUCAGUGGCUUGGUGGUAGGUUAACAGUGCAGGGGACGGCUCAGCAGUGCUGUCCACCUGCUCAAAAGACACCUAGCAAAUAUAAGAGGUAACGAGUUCUCUGAUGCCUGGUUCAGCAGCAGUAUUGGCCUUUGUCAUUAGGGUAGGAAUAGAUAGUAGUUGGGAAAUAUCUUCUUGACCUCUUCCCUCUCAUCUGUUGCCCUAAUUUGCUUUAGUUAUUUUAAAAUGGUGAGAAAUUUAUUUUUUUUUUGUCUUGGGGUGGGGGGAGGCAAAGCCACCCCCAUGAUAUAUGGAAGAGCCUAGGCUAAGGAUCAAAUCAGAGCUGUAGCUGUUGGCCUAUACCACAGCCACAGCAAUGCAGGAUCUGAACCCUGCACCACAGCAGCACUCACAGUAACACCUGAUCCUUAACCCAAUGAGAGGCCAGGGUUCAAACCCACAUCCAAACUAGUCAGGUUCGUUACUGCUGAGCCAUGAUGGGAACUCUUAUCACUUUUUCCUUUUAAAUUACUAAAUAUUUUAACAAAAACAUACAGCAUAUUAUGAAAAAUAGAGAUAUUUGUGCUAAAUAACGUUGGCCAUAUUCACUCCAGGUUAGAGAAAUAAGACAUCACAGGAGUUCCCAUUGUGGCUCAGUGAAUUAAGAACCCAACUGGUAUCUGUGAGGAUGCAGGUUUGACCCCUGGCCUCUCAGUGAGUUGAAAAUCUGGUAUUACCAUGAACCAUGGUAUAGGUAGCAAACGCUGCUCAGCUUCCGAGUGGCUGUGAUGUAGGCUGGCAUCUGCAGCUCUCAUUUGACCCCUAGCCUGGGAGCUUUCAUAUGCCACAGGCGCAGCC
rnacentral:lncRNA from 1 species